UUUGGCAAAUGAUGAAAUAAGUUUUAUGCUUAACACUGACAUUUUUGAGUGUUGACUACAAACUCCGCUUAUUAUCUGAUGUCAUU